rnacentral:rRNA from 1 species
CCUACGGGUGGCAGCAGUGGGGAAUAUUGGACAAUGGGCGAAAGCCUGAUCCAGCCAUGCCGCGUGUGUGAAGAAGGCCUUCGGGUUGUAAAGCACUUUCAGUGGGGAAGAAAGCCUUGGGGCUAAUACCCUCGAGGAAGGACAUCACCCACAGAAGAAGCACCGGCUAACUCCGUGCCAGCAGCCGCGGUAAUACGGAGGGUGCGAGCGUUAAUCGGAAUUACUGGGCGUAAAGCGCGCGUAGGCGGUCUGAUAAGCCGGUUGUGAAAGCCCCGGGCUCAACCUGGGAACGGCAUCCGGAACUGUCAGGCUAGAGUGCAGGAGAGGAAGGUAGAAUUCCCGGUGUAGCGGUGAAAUGCGUAGAGAUCGGGAGGAAUACCAGUGGCGAAGGCGGCCUUCUGGACUGACACUGACGCUGAGGUGCGAAAGCGUGGGUAGCAAACAGGAUUAGAUACCCCUGAGU